rnacentral:rRNA from 1 species
UACGAAGGGGGCUAGCGUUGCUCGGAAUGACUGGGCGUAAAGGGCGCGUAGGCGGAUGGUCCAGUCAGAUGUGAAAUUCCCGGGCUCAACCUGGGGGCUGCAUUUGAUACGUGCUGUCUUGAGUUCGGAAGAGGGUCGUGGAAUUCCCAGUGUAGAGGUGAAAUUCGUAGAUAUUGGGAAGAACACCGGUGGCGAAGGCGGCGACCUGGUCCGAGACUGACGCUGAGGCGCGAAAGCGUGGGGAGCAAACAGG